rnacentral:tRNA from 1 species
GGCAUGGUGGCUCAGUGGUUAGAGCGCCCAUCUGAACGGGAGGUUGUGGGUUCGAAUCCCGGCCGAGUCA